GACGAACGCUGGCGGCGUGCUUAACACAUGCAAGUCGAACGGAAAGGCCCUGCUUUUGUGGGGUGCUCGAGUGGCGAACGGGUGAGUAACACGUGAGUAACCUGCCCUUGACUUUGGGAUAACUUCAGGAAACUGGGGCUAAUACCGGAUAGGAGCUCCUGCUGCAUGGUGGGGGUUGGUAAGUUUCGGCGGUUGGGGCUGGACUCGCGGCUUAUCAGCUUGUUGGUGGGGUAGUGGCUUACCAAGGCUUUGACGGGUAGCCGGCCUGAGAGGGUGACCGGCCACAUUGGGACUGAGAUACGGCCCAGACUCCUACGGGAGGCAGCAGGGGGGAAUAUUGCACAAUGGGCGGAAGCCUGAUGCAGCAACGCCGCGUGCGGGAUGACGGCCUUCGGGUUGUAAACCGCUUUCGCCUGUGACGAAGCGUGAGUGACGGUAAUGGGUAAAGAAGCACCGGCUAACUACGUG
rnacentral:rRNA from 1 species